UACGGAGGCCCCAAGCGUUGUUCGGAUUUAUUGGGCGUAAAGGGAGCGUAGGCGGCGUGGUAAGUCUGGUGUGAAAGGCGUGGGCUCAACCUGCGGACUGCAUUGGAUACUGCCAUGCUAGAGGACUGGAGAGGAGAAUGGAAUUCACGGUGGAGCAGUGAAAUGCGUAGAUAUCGUGAGGAAGGCCAGUGGCGAAGGCGAUUCUCUGGACAGUACCUGACGCUGAGGCUCGAAGGCUGGGGGAGCGAACAGG
rnacentral:misc_RNA from 1 species